AGAGUUUGAUCCUGGCUCAGAACGAACGCUGGCGGCGUGCCUAAUACAUGCAAGUCGAUCGCGUAGCAAUACGAGAGGCGUACGGGAGCGUAACACGUAGGUAAUCUGCCCACGAGUGGGGAAUAACCAGUCGAAAGAUUGGCUAAUACCGCAUAAGACCACAGGGCCUCGGGUCUAGGGGUCAAAGGAGCAAUUCGCUU
rnacentral:rRNA from 1 species